AGAAUCAACGCUGGCGGCGUGCCUAACACAUGCAAGUCGAACGAGAAAGUGGAGCAAUCCAUUAGUAAAGUGGCGCACGGGUGAGUAACACGUGACUAACCUACCCUUGAGUGGGGGAUAACCUAGGGAAACCUGGGCUAAUACCGCAUAAUACCUUCGGGUCAAAGGAGCAAUUCGCUUUAGGAGGGGGUCGCGGCCGAUUAGUUAGUUGGCGGGGUAAUGGCCCACCAAGACUGUGAUCGGUAUCC
rnacentral:rRNA from 1 species